CUUACGGGGAGCAGCAGUGGGGGAUAUUCCACAAUGGGGGAAACCCUGAUGCAGCGACGCCGCGUGGGUGAAGAAGUAUUUCGGUAUGUAAAGCCCUAUCAGCAGGGAAGAAAGAAGACGGUACCUGACGAAGAAGCCCCGGCUAACUACGUGCCAGCAGCCGCGGUAAUACGUAGGGGGCGAGCGUUAGCCGGAUUCACUGGGUGUAAAGGGAGCGUAGACGGCCGUGCAAGCCAGGAGUGAAAGCCCGGGGCCCAACCCCGGGACUGCUCUUGGAACUGUGCGGCUGGAGUGCGGGAGGGGCAGGCGGAAUUCCUGGUGUAGCGGUGAACUGCGUAGAUAUCAGGAGGAACACCGGCGGCGAAGGCGGCCUGCUGGACCGCGACUGACGUUGAGGCUCGAAAGCGUGGGGAGCGAACAGGAUUAGAUACCCGGGUAGUC
rnacentral:rRNA from 1 species